GAUGAACGCUGGCGGCGUGCCUAAUACAUGCAAGUCGAGCGAACAGACAAGGAGCUUGCUCCUUUGACGUUAGCGGCGGACGGGUGAGUAACACGUGGGUAACCUACCUAUAAGACUGGGAUAACUUCGGGAAACCGGAGCUAAUACCGGAUAAUAUUUCAAACCGCAUGGUUCGAUAGUGAAAGAUGGUUUUGCUAUCACUUAUAGAUGGACCCGCGCCGUAUUAGCUAGUUGGUAAGGUAACGGCUUACCAAGGCGACGAUACGUAGCCGACCUGAGAGGGUGAUCGGCCACACUGGAACUGAGACACGGUCCAGACUCCUACGGGAGGCAGCAGUAGGGAAUCUUCCGCAAUGGGCGAAAGCCUGACGGAGCAACGCCGCGUGAGUGAUGAAGGUCUUCGGAUCGUAAAACUCUGUUAUUAGGGAAGAACAUACGUGUAAGUAACUAUGCACGUCUUGACGGUACCUAAUCAGAAAGCCACGGCUAACUACGUGCCAGCAGCCGCGGUAAUACGUAGGUGGCAAGCGUUAUCCGGAAUUAUUGGGCGUAAAGCGCGCGUAGGCGGUUUUUUAAGUCUGAUGUGAAAGCCCACGGCUCAACCGUGGAGGGUCAUUGGAAACUGUAAAACUUGAGUGCAGAAGAUGAAAGUGGAAUUCCAUGUGUAGCGGUGAAAUGCGCAGAGAUAUGGAGGAACACCAGUGGCGAAGGCGACUUUCUGGUCUGUAACUGACGCUGAUGUGCGAAAGCGUGGGGAUCAAACAGGAUUAGAUACCCUGGUAGUCCACGCCGUAAACGAUGAGUGCUAAGUGUUAGGGGGUUUCCGCCCCUUAGUGCUGCAGCUAACGCAUUAAGCACUCCGCCUGGGGAGUACGACCGCAAGGUUGAAACUCAAAGGAAUUGACGGGGACCCGCACAAGCGGUGGAGCAUGUGGUUUAAUUCGAAGCGACGCGAAGAACCUUACCAAAUCUUGACAUCCUUUGACAACUCUAGAGAUAGAGCCUUCCCCUUCGGGGGACAAAGUGACAGGUGGUGCAUGGUUGUCGUCAGCUCGUGUCGUGAGAUGUUGGGUUAAGUCCCGCAACGAGCGCAACCCUUAAGCUUAGUUGCCAUCAUUAAGUUGGGCACUCUAAGUUGACUGCCGGUGACAAACCGGAGGAAGGUGGGGAUGACGUCAAAUCAUCAUGCCCCUUAUGAUUUGGGCUACACACGUGCUACAAUGGACAAUACAAAGGGCAGCGAAACCGCGAGGUCAAGCAAAUCCCAUAAAGUUGUUCUCAGUUCGGAUUGUAGUCUGCAACUCGACUACAUGAAGCUGGAAUCGCUAGUAAUCGCAGAUCAGCAUGCUACGGUGAAUACGUUCCCGGGUCU
rnacentral:rRNA from 1 species